GUGGGGAAUUUUGGACAAUGGGGGCAACCCUGAUCCAGCCAUGCCGCGUGCGGGAAGAAGGCCUUCGGGUUGUAAACCGCUUUUGUCAGGGAAGAAAUCCUUUGGGUUAAUACCUCGGAGGGAUGACGGUACCUGAAGAAUAAGCACCGGCUAACUACGUGCCAGCAGCCGCGGUAAUACGUAGGGUGCGAGCGUUAAUCGGAAUUACUGGGCGUAAAGCGUGCGCAGGCGGUUUUGUAAGAUCGAUGUGAAAUCCCCGGGCUCAACCUGGGAACUGCAUUGGUGAAUGCAAGGCUGGAGUGCGGCAGAGGGGGAUGGAAUUCCGCGUGUAGCAGUGAAAUGCGUAGAUAUGCGGAGGAACACCGAUGGCGAAGGCAAUCCCCUGGGCCUGCACUGACGCUCAUGCACGAAAGCGUGGGGAGCAAACAGGAUUAGAUACCCGUGUAGUCC
rnacentral:rRNA from 1 species